rnacentral:misc_RNA from 1 species
GCAUUAGCAGAACAAUCUGUUGACAGUGGUGAGCAACGUGGAUACUCCGCAAGGAUACCCUAUGCUGUGCACCCGUUCAUUGGUGUGAUAACUAUCUACGCUUUUGACGUGAAACAGGUUCAGCUUCUAACAGUCCAUUGACUUGGACAAUUUUUCAUUAAUGUGACCUCAAAUCAGGUAGGACUACCCGCUGAACUUAA